AUAGCAGAAGUGAUACCAUGGUCACGAAGUUGGUUUCCCCAGUGUGAGGCUUAUUCAUUGCGCUACAGAUGUACUGACCUCUGUGGUGCCCAUACAUGUGGGGAAGUCAACUGCAUAAUUUCUGGGAGUGGGAGUCUGCUCUCUCUCUCUCUCUCU